GUAGUCUGCAACUCGACUACAUGAAGCUGGAAUCGCUAGUAAUCGCGAAUCAGAAUGUCGCGGUGAAUACGUUCCCGGGUCUUGUACACACCGCCCGUCACACCAUGGGAGUUGGGAAUGCCCGAAGCCGGUGACCUAACCGAAAGGGAGGAGCCGUCGAAGGCAGGCUCGAUAACUGGGGUGAAGUCGUAACAAGGUAAC
rnacentral:rRNA from 1 species